AAAUCAUGCUGCUAUAAAGGCACAUGCCCACGUAUGUUUAUUGCGGCACUAUUCACAAUAGCAAAGACUUGGAACCAACCCAAAUGACCAUCAAUGAUAGACUAGAUUAAGAAAAUGUGGCACAUAUACACCACGGAAUACUAUGAAGCCAUAACAAAAGGAUGAGUUCAUGUGCUUUGUAGGGACAUGGAUGAAGCUGGAAACCAACAUUCUCAGCAAUCUAUCACAAGAACAAAAAACCAAACACCGCAUGUUCUCACUCAUAGGUGGGAAUUGAACAAUGAGAACACUUGGACACAGGAAGGGGAACAUCAUACACCAGGGCCUGCCAUGGGGUGGGGGGAGGGGGGAGGGAAAGCAUUAGAAGAUAUACCCAAUGUAAAUGAAGAGUUAAUGGGUGCAGCACACCAAUGUGGCACAUGUAUACAUAUGUAACAAACCUGUACGUCGUGCACAUGUACCCCAGAACUUAAGGUAUAAUAAUAAAAAAAAAAAAAGAAAAUGAAGACAAGCUGCAGAUUGAGAGAGAAUAUAUGCAAAGGAUACAUGUGAUAAAGGAUUGUUAUCCAAAACAUACAAAGAACUCUUAAACUUAACACUAAGGAAACAAACAACUCAUUUAAAAAAUAUGCCAAAGACUGAAACAGACACUUUGACAAAGAUAUGCAGAUGACAAACAAGGAUAUGAAAAGAUACUGCACAUCAUACGUCAUUAGGGAACUGUAAAUAAGACAAUAAUGAGACAUCACUAUUCAUUAGAAUAAAAAUCCAAAACACUGACACCACCAAAUAUGGCGAGGAUGUUGAGCAACAGAAACUCUCAUUCAUUGCUGCUGAGAAUGCAGAAUGGUACAACUACUUUGCAAGAUGGUUUGGUGAUUACUUACAAAACUAAACAUACUCAACAUGGAAUUCAGCAGUUGUGAUCCUAGGUAUUUGCCCAAAUGAGUUGAAAACUUAUGUCUACACUAAAACCUUCACACAGAUGUUUAUGGAAGCUUUAUUCAUAAUGGCCAAAACUUUGAAGGAACCAAGAUGUCCUUCAGCAAGUGAAUGGAUAAAUAGAUUGUGAAACAUUCAGACAAUGGAAUAAUAUUUAGCACUUAAAAAAUGAGCUAUUGAGCUGUGAAAAGACAUGAAGGAACCUUAAGUGUAUAUAGCUAAGUGAAAGAAGCCAAUCUGAAAGGGCUACAUAGUGAAUGAUUCCAACUACAUGACAUUCUGAAAAAGGUAAAACUAUGUGGAUAAUGAAAAGAUCAAUGAUUGCCAGGGGUUGAGGAGAGGGAGGGAUGAAUAGAUGGAGCACAGAUAAUUUUUAGGGCAGUGAAAACUGAUCUGUAGAAUACUACAGUGUUGGAUAUAUGUCUAUUGAAUACAAAUCUAUUGAAUAUACAGCACCAAGAGUGAACCCCAAUGUAAACUAUGGACUUUGGGUGAUAAUGAUGUAUCAGUGUAGGUUCCUGGAUUGUAACAAAUGUACUGCUUUGGUGGGGGAUGUUGAUAGUGGAAGAGACUGCGCAGAUGUGGGAGUGAGGGGUGUAUAGGAACUCUGUACUUGUCUAUUCAUUUUUCAGUGAAUCUUAAACUUCUCUAAAAAUAAAGUUUGUUAAAAAAAUAAUGUCUCAGCCCUCUCAUUUUAAGUAUAGGGCAACUGCUGGCUAAUAACUCAGCCUCAUACUGUACUGAGAAACUGAAAGCAACUCCUCAGUUGGUAAUAGCCUCAAGGUACCACCCAUAUAUCGGCUGGCAUCUGGGCCAAGCCUUUUUUUCUUCUUCCGCUCCUGGGAUAGUUUCAUGGAAGCCAGCCCCUUCUGACAUGGCCUGAACCACAUCUAUUCUCAUAGCCUCAGGACCUCCCUCCUUUAGUUGUUCCCUUUCUCCUGAAACAAUGCCCUCUUUUCUUUACUAGACCAUUCCCAUCAGCAGGUAAACAUAUUCUAGUAUCUUCCAUGCAGAAAAGAUUUUUCCUGGUCUCAUAUUUCUCCCGAGCCAGCGCUGGUUCUUCACUCCCUAUGUUAUAGCUUCUCAAGGGUUCCAUCUGUUCAUACUCACCUCUCAUUCUCUUGUCAGCUCACUCCAUCACUCCAUUAAGACUCUACAUGGAGGCCGGGUGCAGUGGCUCACACCUGUAAUCCUGGCACUUUGGGAGGCUGAGGCAGUUGGACCACCUAAGGCCAGGAGUUCAAGACCAGCCUGAUCAACAUGGUGAAACCAUGUCUCUACUAAAAAAAUACAAAUAAAAUAAAAAAAAAAUUAGUCGGACAAAGCAGUGGCACUUGCCUGUAAUCCCAGCUACUCAGGAGGCUGAGGCAGGAGAAUUGGUUGAACCCGGGAGGCAGAGGUUGUGGUGAGCCAAGAUCGCACCACUGCACUACAGCAUGGGCAACAGAGCCAGAUUCCAUCUCGAAAAAAAAAAAAAAGACUCUUCAUAGACACCAAGAUCUUUGUGUUUCUAAAUUCAACAGCCACUUUCUAUUAUUCCACAUAAUCUUAGCAACAGUUGAGCAACCACUCAGCAACUACUGCCCUCUUCCUGUAAUACUUUCUUUCCUUGGUAGAUCCCCUACCUCCUUGAGUACUUUUUCCUUAUACUCUCCUCUACUCAUCCUCCAAAUGCUGAAGUGCUCUUUCCUGGGCACCCUUUCCUUCUUUAUCUGCAAACUCUCUGAGUGACAAUAUUUAGGCCUCAGACUUCAAAUCCUCUACAUGAAAAGACUCCAAAAUUUCCACCCGCUCCUCUCACCUAAACCCAUAAACCCAAAUCUUCAUGGAUGUCUAUAGGGAACAUGUCUGUAAUGGCCCAAACAGAACUCCAGGUGUAUUCCCCCAAUCUACCUAGAAUAUUUAUCAUUUCAUUUCUGCAAACAAUAUCCAAAAUUGAUUCAUUUUUUGCUAAAGCCAAAAGUCUAUGCAACCUCUCUGAAUUCUCUUCUUCUUUCACACCAGUAAGUCUUCCUUUCCUUACAUAUAUAGAUAUCCUGAAUCCUUCACUUCUGUGAAUUCUCACUACCUUAGUCCAAGCUUCUAGAACACUGGAAGAGUCUGUAGUCUCCUAAGGCAUAUACUGAUUCAGUCAUUGCUCUGUAUGUUUUAAUCCCACAGAGACACAAGGAGAUUUUUUAAAAGCAUGGAUCACAUUGCUUUCCUACUUCAGACUUUCCAACAACCAUGUCCCAUUGCUUAGAAUGCAGUCCAAGCACUUAUCUGGGUUCACUUACUCUACUUGGUCUCACCCUUGUCCUCCCUUCUGAUCUUGUCUCCAAGUUGCAGCUUCAGCAGCCUACACCACCACAAGCCCGUGCUUGUUUCUAGGCUUAGCACUAGUUAUUUCCUCACCAAGGAAUGCCAUUGAACUUGAUCUUUGCAGAGUAGGCUUCUUCUUGUUGCUCAGAUCUUAGAUUAAAUGUAAAGUCACCCAAGAGGAAAUCUGUUCAGAGUGGCUGCCCAAGCAUGGCCAUUUUGCUCCAUCUAAAGUUUCUGGAUAGUCUUUUUCAUCCCCUCAUUCUCUCUCUCUCUCUCUCACACACACACACACACACACACACACACACACACACUUUUUCCAUUACUGUUGGCCUUCUUCACUGCUGUAUUUUUGAUGCUGAGAAACCUGUCUGGCACACAGUGUGUGCUCAAUAAAUGUUUCUGACUGAAUAGAUAGAAGAUACAGUGGAAUGACUUGCCCCAAAUUGCUCAGCGAGUGGCAGGAAAAAUGAAAGAGUCUACAACCCUUGACUCUUUGCACAUUAUGCCAUCCCCAAAACAGGAAGAUUGUUAGUACUAUUGCUUUUUCUGAAAUAUUAUUUGGCCUUUAAAAAGAGGGAAAUUCAGUCAUUUGUGACAAUGUAGAUGAAGCUGGAGGACAUUGUGCUAAGUGAAAUAAGCCAGGCACAGAAAGACAAAGUCUACGUGAUCUCACUUACAUGCAGAAUCUAAAAAUGUCGAACUCAAAGCAAUAGAGAGUAGAAUGGUGGCUACCAGAGGUUGGGGGAAGGAAUGAGGAGAUAUUGAUCAAAGGGUGCAAAGUUUCCAUUAGAAGGAAAAUAUGAUUUUGGAGUCUAUUGCACAGCAUGGUAACAAUAGUUAAUAAUAAAGUAUAUUUUUAAAUAAUGAAAAGAAUACAUUUCCAGUGCCAUAACUCUUAAAACUCACUGACAAACUCAAUUUCAAGUGGUAACUUAGAUUUUGAUGUUAAAAGAAGUGCAAGACCAUAUCACAAACCUAGCAAGUCUAGACUUGCAUUUGCAGGUGACUAAGAUUUCAGAUGAUUCCCCCACGUUAGAGAUCAAAUAAAUCUUGAUAACAUGCCUGUUUGUCCAUAAAAACUUAGUUUUACAUACUAACACUGCCUUUUGUGUAUAUUUAAACAGAACAAAUGGUAAUUUAUUAUGUUCUCCAGAAACUGAUUUUGCAACAUUGCUAAACUAGCAGACUGGAGAGAUGCUCACAAUUCUCAGAUGAUAUGAGUGUUUCUCUGCAUGGGCAUCAGAGCUGCCACUGCUUGACAUUCCAAGAACUUCCCAGCUACAGGUUCAUCACCUUCUCCUCCCAGGAAAGACAUGUGAGAUUCUGCACAGAGACAGGAAUGUCGUGCCAAAGAGCCUGAAGUCAUGCCAGUGGUGGAGUGCUGAUUGGAACAGACUGGGUUUGGAUGACAUCUCUACUCAUCUGUAAUGGAAGCUGUGUCAAAGUAAACCUUCCUCAGGCACCUGUAGUCUGCCUUGGUUGCUUAGAUUUGUUUGUAAUUGUUUUUAUCCUUUCACAAAUUGUGCAAUACUGCUUAUCAAGCAAUGAUUAGUAAAUGAACCUGUCAUUAUUUUAUCUCACUGAGUAAUAUCAGGAGUUAUAAAAAGAAAAUAUUUCCCAAGCCUUACCCCCACGACUCUAGUAUCUACAAUUCACUGGCCUUAACACCAGCCUACAGUCCUAAAAUGGUAUCUGAUACUUGUUCAUCAGCUUCUUCUUUUAUUUUUUUUUUCAGAUAGGAAAAAUUUUGAAAAACUCUGGUGGCCUUUGGGUGAUGAAGUUAAUGAUAAUUGCCACCUUUUUUCAUGAAGUUUCUUGAACUUUGACAACUUUAGGAACAAUAAUACUGAUAUUGAUAAUAUGUCAUCUUGUUCUCAUGUUCUGUGAUUCUGAAGGUGAAUAUAUAUAUUAUUUUCAUUUGACCAGUGAGGAAAAUAAGGAUGAGGACAUAAUUUAAACCUGGUCAAUUCACAGGCAGGGACAAGGUGGGACUCACAGUCAAUUCUCUGACUUCCAGUCAGAAAUCUUGACCCUAAGCGUUUUUCGUACAUGAAUAGGUUAGAUCUAUUAAUGAGUAGGUAAGGUGAGAUGUGGGGUCUAUCCUGGCCUUUUAGGUGCAGGUUGAGUUAUCAAAUCUAUGAGAAAAACCACAUCCACUAGAAGUCAGAGAAUCUGAAUGUGAGUUCCACCCCUGUCCAUCUUAUUUACCAGGUAUAAAUCAUGUUCUCAUUCUUAUUUUCCCUCAGAAGCAAGAACUGACCACCAUGUACAUCAGCUGGAACCUUUCUGGAAUCCACACAGUGUAAUAAUCCUUAGGAAAAGCUACCUGGGAUUCAGCUGUUACAAUCAGAAGGCCACGAACACUCAACUGGAACCUUUCAUAAUCCCAGUAAAAGGAAAGAUUCAGCUCUUGUCCUGAUUGCAGACUUUGUGUUGGUAUUUUAAAAUCUGUAUCGGUGAAUAAUUUCAAAUUUUAAAUCUACCUACAUAGUUGACAAAGACUUUGGACUGUGAUGAUUUUAAUGUGUAUCUAUGAAUUAUUUAAUACUCUUUCCUUCGAAGGGUAGAAUACAUUUUCACUUUUCUUAAGUGUGGGGUAAACUUAAUGACUCAUUUGUAAAAAAUAAAUUGAAGUAUGCAUAGAGGUGUCACUUCUAAUGCUAGGUCAUAAAAGACGUUUUGUUUUCUGCCCUGUUCUGUCUUUCUCUUUGAUCAUUCAGGCUGGGGGAUGCCAGCUGCCAUAUUGUGAAGACCCUCAAGCAUCCCUGUGGAGAGGUCCCCAUGGCACAGAAAUGGACUCUCAGCCCAAAAGCCAACAAAGAACCAAGGCCUCAAGCCAGCAGCCAUGGGAAUGGGAAUGUGCCAUCUUGGAAGCCAAUCCUGCAGCCCCAGUCAAGCCUUCAGAUGACAGUAGCCCCAGCCAAUAUCUUCACUGGAUCUUACUGAGAGACUAUGUGCCAGCAUGACCCUACUAAACAACUCUCAAAUUUCUGACCCUCAGAAAUUGUGUGAGAUAAUAAUUGUUUUUUGUUUUAAUAUGCUAAGCUUUAGGUUUGUUUGUUACUCCAAAUUAGACAACUAAUUCAGAAUGCAAUAUAUACACUCAGCCAGGUCAACUCCUCUGCUUCUUGAUGCCUGGGGAGAGUGGAGAGAGUGAUGGAUCCCCAUUAUUAUUGCACCCAGGGUACACUGGUCUGGGUUUAGAAUGUCUUGUGCUUUUUCAACCUUCUGUUCCCACAUUUCUCAGUAGUAUGUAUAUUAAACUCUCUUCAGUAACCCACUUUGAGUCUGCCAUUUUUUCCUGUUAGGUUCCCACCUGAAGUGGCUGCCAUGUAACAUCUACACAAACUCCAGCAAGUGGUGGUGGUAUCACCUGUGCUGUGAAUACCUCCCAGUGCAACCAUGCCUAUCACAUUGGAUGAUGCCAUUCAGAGCUGCUAGUGUCAGCAAAGCCAGGCUCCAGUGUCACCAGGGUGGUUUGCCUGCAUCACAGGUUCUUCGCCGACAUCACCAAUGGCUGUGCUGCCCAGGCUUUGCUCUCUCCAGUGCUCCUUUGAUAUUUGCGCGCCCCCCACCUCCUCCUAGGACUCAGAAGUAAGUCAUGUGAGAUGUGCGGGAAAGGAGCCAAGAGAAGGGCAAUUAGAAUCACCCUGAAGCAAAUUUGUCUUUCCAGGAUGUCCUGCCCAGGGCUUUACUGGGGUCUCACAUGAAUAGCUCUUGGCAGUGCCCCAGUGCACUAGAAAUGCUUAUAAAUUCCUGAAUCCCAAUGUGAACAGAGUUUGGGUCAGUCUGGACCCUUGCUU
rnacentral:lncRNA from 10 species